rnacentral:rRNA from 1 species
AUUGAACGCUGGCGGCAGGCCUAACACAUGCAAGUCGAGCGAGCGGCGGACGGGUGAGUAAUGUCUGGGAAACUGCCUGAUGGAGGGGGAUAACUACUGGAAACGGUAGCUAAUACCGCAUACCAUCAGAUGUGCCCAGAUGGGAUUAGCUAGUAGGUGGGGUAACGGCUCACCUAGGCGACGAUCCCUAGCUGGUCUGAGAGGAUGACCAGCAACACUGGAAGUGGGACACGGUCCAGACUCCUCCGGUGGUAGGCAGUGGGGAAUUUUUCACAUUGGGCGCAGCCCUUAUGCAGCCAUGCCGCGGGUGUGAAGAAGUCCUUAGGGUUGUAAAGCACUUUCAGCGGGGAGGCGUUACCCGCAGAAGAAGCACCGGCUAACUCCGUGCCAGCAGCCGCGGUAAUAC